rnacentral:tRNA from 1 species
GGGCGCUGUGGGCGGUGAUCCUUCUGAUUCCCAAGCUGAAUACGCGGGUUCGAUUCCCGUCAUCCGCUCU